CAGGGAACAACCCAGGAUGGGGUGCCAACCCAUCACAGGGCACACUCACGCACAAUUUGGUCACGCAAAUUUCCUUGUGUACGUGUAGGUUCCAUCUCCCCAUCACCCUGACCAGGGGAUCAUGAGAGAAUCAGGAAAACAGAACGUGUAAUUGACCACCAGUGCUGUCCCUGGGCAGCCUGACAAUGCCUCUGCAACAUGAGACCACAGAAUGCAGAAUCUGCUGGCUGAAGCGGGGAGAGGAAGUGCCUCAUGUUUCUAUCCUGGGCCACAGCCAGGUUUUCAUGCCAGCAUCCAGCGGCCCUGAACAGCCCAGCAGGCCCUGCGGCACAGCAGAAGCACGCUGCGUCAGGACUCCUGUGUUCAUGAGACCACAGCACUCUGAAGGUGUUCAUGUAA